UACGGGGGGGGCAAGCGUUGUUCGGAAUUACUGGGCGUAAAGGGCGCGUAGGCGGCCUGCUAAGUCACACGUGAAAUCCCUCGGCUCAACCGGGGAACUGCGUGUGAUACUGGCGGGCUUGAAUUCGGGAGAGGGAUGUGGAAUUCCAGGUGUAGCGGUGAAAUGCGUAGAUAUCUGGAGGAACACCGGUGGCGAAGGCGACGUCCUGGACCGGCAUUGACGCUGAGGCGCGAAAGCCAGGGGAGCAAACGGG
rnacentral:rRNA from 1 species